rnacentral:tmRNA from 1 species
GGGGGUGAAAUUGGUUUCGACGGGGUUGAAGAGACAUUGAACUGCACACCGUGUUCCCCGAGUACACGUAAAACAAUUGGGAAUAAAACAAUAACUGGCGAAUAUAACUACGCCUUAGCUGCUUAAUUAAAUGAGCAGCCGUUCUCCUUUCUCUCUCAUACCGGGGUUUGGAAGAACGUCGUUUAGGUAUGAUAGCUGAUUCUGUUGCCUGUGCAGAUAAAGCGAAUUUUUAAGCAGGUAAGCUUAAAGUGAUCCACGUUUGUUUGGUAGCUUUAAGUUAAAAUAAAAACAGACUAAGUGUGUAGAUGUUCUUUGGAUCCUAACUUCGGACGCGGGUUCGACUCCCGCCACCUCCACCA